rnacentral:rRNA from 1 species
CACUAUGCCUAGCCAUAAACAUUGAUAGAAAACUACACCCACUAUCCGCCCGGGAACUACGAGCAUCAGCUUGAAACCCAAAGGACUUGGCGGUGCUUUAGAUCCACCUAGAGGAGCCUGUUCUAGAACCGAUUACCCCCGUUCAACCUCACCUUUCCUUGUUUUCCCCGCCUAUAUACCACCGUCGUCAGCUUACCCUAUGAAGGACUUAUAGUAAGCAAGAUUGGCACAGCCCAAAACGUCAGGUCGAGGUGUAGCGUAUGGAAAGGGAAGAAAUGGGCUACAUUCCCUAAUAUAGUGAAAUACGAACGAUACACUGAAAUACGUAUCUGAAGGAGGAUUUAGCAGUAAGCAGAAAAUAGAGCGUUCCGCUGAAACCGGCCCUGAAGCGCGCACACACCGCCCGUCACUCUCCCCGAGCUUAAUAGCCCUUAAUACUUAAAACCUAAAAACUGCAAAGGGGAGGCAAGUCGUAA